AGAGUUUGAUCCUGGCUCAGAACGAACGCUGGCGGCAGGCCUAACACAUGCAAGUCGAACGGGCGUAGCAAUACGUCAGUGGCAGACGGGUGAAUAACACGUGGGAACCUUCCUCGUAGUGCGGAACAACUCAGGGAAACUUGAGCUAAUACCGCAUACGCCCCGGAGCAAUCCGGGGGAAAGAUUUAUCGCUAUGAGACGGGCCCGCGUCCGAUUAGCUAGUUGGUGGGGUAACGGCCUACCAAGGCAACGAUCGGUAGCUGAUCUGAGAGGAUGGUCAGCCACACUGGGACUGAGACACGGCCCAGACUCCUACGGGAGGCAGCAGUGGGGAAUCUUGGACAAUGGGCGAAAGCCUGAUCCAGCCAUGCCGCGUGAGUGAAGAAGGCCUUAGGGUUGUAAAGCUCUUUUGGCAGGGACGAUAAUGACGGUACCUGCAGAAUAAGCCCAA
rnacentral:rRNA from 1 species